rnacentral:rRNA from 1 species
CAACUUUCAACAACGGAUCUCUUGGUUCUGGCAUCGAUGAAGAACGCAGCGAAAUGCGAUAAGUAGUGUGAAUUGCAGAAUUCAGUGAAUCAUCGAAUCUUUGAACGCACAUUGCGCCCUUUGGUAUUCCAAAGGGCAUGCCUGUUCGAGCGUCAUUUGUACCCUCAA